GGGACCGUGGGUUAGCCUGGUAUACUUGCAGCCUUGGGUGCUGCCGACCCCGGUUCAAAUCCGGGCGGUCCCA
rnacentral:tRNA from 1 species